rnacentral:rRNA from 1 species
UACGAAGGGGGCUAGCGUUGCUCGGAAUCACUGGGCGUAAAGGGUGCGUAGGCGGGUUACUUUAAGUCAGAAGGUGAAUCCUGGAGCUCAACUCCAGAACUGUCCUUGAUACUGAAAGUCUUGAGUAUGGGAGAGGUGAGUGGAACUGCGAGUGUAGAGGUGAAAUUCGUAGAUAUUCGCAAGAACACCAGUGGCGAAGGCGGCUCACUGGCCCAUAACUGACGCUGAGGCACGAAAGCGUGGGGAGCAAACAGG